rnacentral:lncRNA from 1 species
UUGUGGAUCCACACAUGAGUACUAGAUCCACAAACACUGUUUCUUAAAAAUAAGGAUAAAUCAUUGACAAAAAGCAGGUCUAAUUUCUGGAGUGCAUAUGGUUGUAAUGUUCACUAUAAUUCUUUAGAGAAUAUUCUCUUUUAUCGUUCUUUAUAAUCCACAUCCUGUCAAAACCCUUCACUCAAUCUCCUUUUUGAUUCCCUUAGGCAUCUGAGAUUGAAGAACUUAAGCAGAAAGUUUCCAAACUUGUGGUAGCUAAAACCCAACUAGAAACCCAAAAUCAGAAGCUGGCAGAGAGGAGAGUGCAUGUAACAGCCCAGUCACUUGGGCCUGUAGCUCAGACGGCCCAACAACAAAAAAAAUAUAUAUAUAGAGGAGGAGGAAGACUCCUAGCCGGAGUCUUCUUCCUUCCCGUUUUCGAUGAAAUCGGACUCAAAGAGUCCGGCUAGGGUAGGAAACCUCCACUA